rnacentral:lncRNA from 10 species
GGUGGACAAUUUCCAGUCUGGAGUCUGCAUUUGGAGAGAUUCUACAGCACAUGCAUGAAUGGACACUCUUAGAAACAGAAGCACAUAUGUGUUUGCAACCAUAGCUUCAGUUAUGUAAAGAAAACUGCCCUGAGAAAAUGAAGUAAAAACACAAGGAAAUCAGAGAGGAGAUAUGGAAAGAGAUGAGACCAGAAGAGAUUGUGAUCAAUUUUGUAAUUCUAAUCAUCGUGUUUUUACCUAAGCUAAUCUGCUGAGGAAAGAGGGUGAAGGUGAAAAGAAGACCUAAGUGUUACCUUGUUGGAUGCUGCUCUGCAUGGAAGAAAACAUUAGGACUGGUAAAGAGGCUCUCCUCCUAACACACGU